rnacentral:rRNA from 1 species
UACGUAGGGGGCAAGCGUUGUCCGGAAUUACUGGGCGUAAAGGGUGCGUAGGCGGUUUUUUAAGUCAGAUGUGAAAUACCCGGGCUUAACCUGGGGGGUGCAUCUGAUACUGGGGAACUUGAGUGCAGGAGAGGAAAGUGGAAUUCCUAGUGUAGCGGUGAAAUGCGUAGAUAUUAGGAGGAACACCAGUGGCGAAGGCGACUUUCUGGACUGUAACUGACGCUGAGGCACGAAAGCGUGGGGAGCAAACAGG